rnacentral:rRNA from 1 species
GGAGUCUAGCAUGUGCGCGAGUCAUUGGGACACGACUAAACCUAAAGGCGCAAUGAAAGUGAAGGCCCGCCUCGCGCGGGCCGAGGGAAGACGGGCGAAGCGCGUCAGCGCCCGCCCCGCAUUCCCGGGGCGUCUCGUUCUCAUCGCGAGAAGAGGCGCACCAAGAGCGUACACGCUGGGACCCGAAAGAUGGUGAACUAUGCCUGGUCAGGACGAAGUCAGGGGAAACCCUGAUGGAGGUCCGUAGCGAUUCUGACGUGCAAAUCGAUCGUCGGAACUGGGUAUAGGGGCGAAAGACUAAUCGAACCAUCUAGUAGCUGGUUCCCUCCGAAGUUUCCCUCAGGAUAGCUGGCGCUCGUCGCCAACGAGUCUCAUCCGGUAAAGCGAAUGAUUAGAGGCAUUGGGGCCGAAACGGCCUCAACCUAUUCUCAAACUUUAAAUGGGUGAGAUCUCCGGCUUGCUCGAACCGAUGAAGCCGCGAGACACGGAUCAGAGUGCCAAGUGGGCCAUUUUUGGUAAGCAGAACUGGCGCUGUGGGAUGAACCAAACGCCGAGUUAAAGCGCCUAAAUCGACGCUUAUGGGAUACCAUGAAAGGCGUUGGUAACUUAAGACAGCAGGACGGUGGCCAUGGAAGUC